rnacentral:lncRNA from 1 species
UGAAAACAGAUGAGAAAUGAAUGGGAUCAACACCAAUGCAAAGCUCAAGAUGUCUAGUAUGCACAUGUAAAAUUUCAUGAUCAUCCAAUAAGAUAUGAGAAUUUCCCAAAUGAAAUGGCAAGAUGUGUCACACAAAGUCAACAAUUUGGUCAAACAGGGGAUAAAAUCUCAAACAAUUUGGAAAUGGCAUAAUUAAUUCCAAGAAAAUUCACACACAAACUAGACAU